CUCCUACGGGAGGCAGCAGUGGGGAAUUUUGGACAAUGGGCGCAAGCCUGAUCCAGCAAUGCCGCGUGAGUGAAGAAGGCCCUUGGGUUGUAAAGCUCUUUCGUUCGGGAAGAAGGAAUUAUGGCUAAUAUCCAUAGUGACAGACGGUACCGGAAUAAGAAGCACCGGCUAACUACGUGCCAGCAGCCGCGGUAAUACGUAGGGUGCAAGCGUUAAUCGGAAUUACUGGGCGUAAAGGGUGUGUAGGCGGUUUAUUAAGUCUGAUGUGAAAUCCCCGGGCUCAACCUGGGAACUGCGUUGGAUACUGGUAAACUAGAGUACGUAAGAGGGGGGUGGAAUUCCACGUGUAGCAGUGAAAUGCGUAGAGAUGUGGAGGAACACCGAUGGCGAAGGCAACCCCCUGGGACGAUACUGACGCUGAGGCACGAAAGCGUGGGGAGCAAACAGGAUUAGAUACCCUGGUAGUCCACGCCCUAAACGAUGUCAACUAGUUGUUGCGGUUUUAUGACCGCAGUAACGAAGCUAACGCAUGAAGUUGACCGCCUGGGGAGUACGGUCGCAAGAUUAAAACUCAAAGGAAUUGACGGGGACCCGCACAAGCGGUGGAUGAUGUGGAUUAAUUCGAUGCAACGCGAAAAACCUUACCUACCCUUGACAUGCCACUAACGAAACAGAGA
rnacentral:rRNA from 1 species